GGGGAAUACUGCGCAAUGGGUGAAACCCUGAAGCAGUUAUAUAGCUCGUGCGAUGAAGGAUUUCGAAUCGUAAAGCUCAGCUAAUGGGGGAAAAAAAAAGAAGGCACCCAAGAAGAAAGACUGGGCCCACCACGUGACAGCAGCCGCGGUAAUACGUAGGGGACAAGCGUUGUCCGGAUUUACUGGGCGUAAAGGGCACGCAGGCGGUUUUUUAAGUCAGAUGUGAAAGGUACCGGCUCAACCGGUGACAUGCAUUUGAAACUGAAAGACUUGAGUAUUGGAGAGGCAAGUGGAAUUCCUAGUGUAGCGGUGAAAUGCGUAGAUAUUAGGAGGAACACCGGUGGCGAAGGCGGCUUGCUGGACAAAUACUGACGCUGAGGUGCGAAAGCGUGGGGAGCAAACA
rnacentral:rRNA from 1 species